rnacentral:rRNA from 1 species
AUUGAACGCUGGCGGCAGGCCUAACACAUGCAAGUCGAACGAGUGGCGGACGGGUGAAUAAUGUCUGGGAAACUGCCCGAUGGAGGGGGAUAACUACUGGAAACGGUAGCUAAUACCGCAUACCAUCGGGUGUGCCCAGAUGGGUUUAGCUUGUAGGUGAGGUAACUGCUCACCUAGGCGACGAUCCCUAGCUGGUCUGAGAGGAUGACCAGACACACUGGAACUGAGACACGGUCCAGACUCCUACGGGAGGCAGCAGUGGGGAAUAUUGCACAAUGGGCGAAAGCCUGAUGCAGCCAUGCCGCGUGUGUGAAGAAGGCAUUCGGGUGGUAAAGUACUUUCAGCGGGGAGGCGUUACCCGCAGAAUAAGCACCUGCUAACUCCGUGCCAGCAGCCGCGGUAAUAC